CAUAGGUUAAUGAGGCGAACCGGGGGAACUGAAACAUCUAAGUACCCCGAGGAAAAGAAAUCAACCGAGAUUCCCCCAGUAGCGGCGAGCGAACGGGGAGGAGCCCAGAGCCUGAAUCAGUGUGUGUGUUAGUGGAAGCGUCUGGAAAGGCGCGCGAUACAGGGUGACAGCCCCGUACACAAAAAUGCACAUACUGUGAGCUCGAUGAGUAGGGCGGGACACGUGGUAUCCUGUCUGAAUAUGGGGGGACCAUCCUCCAAGGCUAAAUACUCCUGACUGACCGAUAGUGAACCAGUACCGUGAGGGAAAGGCGAAAAGAACCCCGGCGAGGGGAGUGAAAAAGAACCUGAAACCGUGUACGUACAAGCAGUGGGAGCCUCUUAAUGGGGUGACUGCGUACCUUUUGUAUAAUGGGUCAGCGACUUAUAUUCUGUAGCAAGGUUAACCGAAUAGGGGAGCCGAAGGGAAACCGAGUCUUAACUGGGCGUUAAGUUGCAGGGUAUAGACCCGAAACCCGGUGAUCUAGCCAUGGGCAGGUUGAAGGUUGGGUAACACUAACUGGAGGACCGAACCGACUAAUGUUGAAAAAUUAGCGGAUGACUUGUGGCUGGGGGUGAAAGGCCAAUCAAACCGGGAGAUAGCUGGUUCUCCCCGAAAGCUAUUUAGGUAGCGCCUCGUGAAUUCAUCUCCGGGGGUAGAGCACUGUUUCGGCAAGGGGGUCAUCCCGACUUACCAACCCGAUGCAAACUGCGAAUACCGGAGAAUGUUAUCACGGGAGACACACGGCGGGUGCUAACGUCCGUCGUGAAGAGGGAAACAACCCAGACCGCCAGCUAAGGUCCCAAAGUCAUGGUUAAGUGGGAAACGAUGUGGGAAGGCCCAGACAGCCAGGAUGUUGGCUUAGAAGCAGCCAUCAUUUAAAGAAAGCGUAAUAGCUCACUGGUCGAGUCGGCCUGCGCGGAAGAUGUAACGGGGCUAAACCAUGCACCGAAGCUGCGGCAGCGACACUAUGUGUUGUUGGGUAGGGGAGCGUUCUGUAAGCCUGUGAAGGUGUACUGUGAGGUAUGCUGGAGGUAUCAGAAGUGCGAAUGCUGACAUAAGUAACGAUAAAGCGGGUGAAAAGCCCGCUCGCCGGAAGACCAAGGGUUCCUGUCCAACGUUAAUCGGGGCAGGGUGAGUCGACCCCUAAGGCGAGGCCGAAAGGCGUAGUCGAUGGGAAACAGGUUAAUAUUCCUGUACUUGGUGUUACUGCGAAGGGGGGACGGAGAAGGCUAUGUUGGCCGGGCGACGGUUGUCCCGGUUUAAGCGUGUAGGCUGGUUUUCCAGGCAAAUCCGGAAAAUCAAGGCUGAGGCGUGAUGACGAGGCACUACGGUGCUGAAGCGACAAAUGCCCUGCUUCCAGGAAAAGCCUCUAAGCAUCAGGUAACAUCAAAUCGUACCCCAAACCGACACAGGUGGUCAGGUAGAGAAUACCAAGGCGCUUGAGAGAACUCGGGUGAAGGAACUAGGCAAAAUGGUGCCGUAACUUCGGGAGAAGGCACGCUGAUAUGUAGGUGAAGCGACUUGCUCGUGGAGCUGAAAUCAGUCGAAGAUACCAGCUGGCUGCAACUGUUUAUUAAAAACACAGCACUGUGCAAACACGAAAGUGGACGUAUACGGUGUGACGCCUGCCCGGUGCCGGAAGGUUAAUUGAUGGGGUUAGCGGUAACGCGAAGCUCUUGAUCGAAGCCCCGGUAAACGGCGGCCGUAACUAUAACGGUCCUAAGGUAGCGAAAUUCCUUGUCGGGUAAGUUCCGACCUGCACGAAUGGCGUAAUGAUGGCCAGGCUGUCUCCACCCGAGACUCAGUGAAAUUGAACUCGCUGUGAAGAUGCAGUGUACCCGCGGCAAGACGGAAAGACCCCGUGAACCUUUACUAUAGCUUGACACUGAACAUUGAGCCUUGAUGUGUAGGAUAGGUGGGAGGCUUUGAAGUGU
rnacentral:rRNA from 1 species